ACAAAAAGGGAAUGAGUGGCCUAGAGAGAGAAAGUAAUGCCUCUGCUUUAACACUUUACAGAGACUUAGACAGAGAAGAGAGAGAGAGAGAGAGAGCGUGGUGUUUCACAGCGGAAACGGCGUCUUCUGUUGGUUGAUCGGUCAUCUGUGCGAGAAUGAGACUGGCAGCAGAUGAUACUGGAGUUGCGGAGGGUAGUGGUGAAGAGAGCACCGCGGCCGCCGUUACUGUCGGGGAUGACGGAGGCGCGGUGGUGGUGGUUGGAAUGAAGAUGGACUCGCGGAGUAGAGAGUUGCUGACAUGGGCGCUAGUGAAGGUGGCGCAGAGCGGGGAUCGUGUGGUUGCUCUACACAUCCUCGAUCCUAACGCUGAUAAAUCGACUCUGCUUGCGCUGGUCAAGACUUUUGAUUCGGUGUUGGCUGCUUAUGAAGGCUUCUGCAACCUAAAAGAGGUGGAUUUAAAGCUUAAGGUCUGUAAAGGAUCUCCAGUACGUAAGAUCCUAACCCAGGAGGCAAAAUCAUGUGGUGCAACGAGUUUAAUUCUUGGUGCUUCAGGAGUCCAUCACAAAAUUAGAUCAAGGAUCUCUGUUGCCAAGUAUUGUGCCAAGAAUCUACAAAAGAAUGUGUCAGUGAUGUGUGUUGAUAAUGGAAAGAUUUUAUUCCAAAGAGACUCAAAUGCUUCCAAAGUCUCGUUGUUUGGAAGUCUUGAUGUGUCAGGAUCGAGAAUGAAAAGGAGGAAGACAUUGCCCAAAAGCCCGUUAAGUCUACCACCAGCCCGAGUUUUAUCAUCAUCAAGCAAUGGAAGUGAGGAUACUUCAAUGGCUCUGGUACCCUUAAGAACUCAAAAGUUGCCCGAAUCCAAGUCAGGAUGGGCAGUAUUGCGCAGUGUGUUUCUACACAAGCGAAGAGUAACUGAAACGUCAUCUCCUAAGAAAUCAUCAUUGGUUCAGUGGAUAUUAAAACUACCGAGUCGACAAUCCUUUGCAAUUAUUUAUCCUGAUCAGAAACAGAUUACCACACCUGAUAGGGAUGACUGUCAUUUAGAUUUGGACCCCGAGAAUGGUGCUAUUGUCCUGUACUCAGCUGAGACUAAUUCUACUUAUUCAUCCAACAUUUUCCUGGAAGAACUCAAGGCUCUUGGGGAGAAGUACUCUACGACAUGCCAAUUGUUUAGCUACCAGGAUCUCUUGUCAGCAACAAAUAACUUCCUACCUGAAAAUUUAAUUGGAAUGGGUGGAAGCAGCCGAGUUUAUCGGGGCUGUUUACCAGGAGGCAGGGAAUUAGCAGUGAAAAUUCUAAAACCGUCAGAGGAUGUACUGAAGCAGUUCGUUUCUGAAAUCGAAAUUAUUACGUCUUUGCAUCACAAAAACAUUAUAUCUUUACUUGGUUUUGGUUUUGAGGAGGACAAAUUACUUUUGGUUUAUAACCUUUUAUCCAGAGGAAGCCUGGAAGAGAAUCUCCAUGGUACACAGAAGUCUGAAAAUUUGUUUGGUUGGGAAGAGAGAUAUAAGGUUGCUUUGGGAGUUGUUGAGGCGCUGGACCAUUUGCACAAUACAGCUGACUCAAUUAUACAUAGAGAUGUAAAAUCUUCAAAUAUCCUUCUUUCAGACAAUUUUGAGCCACAGCUGUCAGAUUUUGGUCUUGCUGCAUGGGCUUCAAGUUGUUCGCAUCAUAUGAGUGCCUCAGAUGUUGCUGGUACAUUCGGCUACUUGGCCCCAGAGUACUUUAUGCACGGGAAACUAAAUGAAAAAAUUGAUGUCUAUGCAUUUGGCGUUGUACUCCUGGAGCUGUUAUCUGGUAGAAAGCCAAUUGAUAAUGGAUUUCCAAAUGGCCAGGAAAGCUUGGUGAUGUGGGCAAAACACAUUUUGAAGGAGGGUAAAAUUUCAGAGCUGCAAGAUCCAAAGUUGGUUAAUGCUUGUAACUGGGAUCAAUUUGAGAAAAUGGUCUUAGCUGCAACCUUGUGUAUCAGACUUGAACCUCAAUCUCGUCCUGAAACUAGCCUUGUUCUAAAACUCCUUCGUGGGGAUCCAGAAGUUGUGGAGUGGGCUAGGCAGGAAACUGAGACUUCUGAAGACCUCUUCAACGUUAUCAACGGUGAACAAUCUGCAACAAACAUCCAAUCCUUCAUCAAUCUUGCGUUGCUUAAUUUGGACGAUGAUUCUGCCUCUAAUAGCAGCACUGAGCAGAAUCUCUCGGUGGAGGAUUACUUGGGAGGUAGAUGGAGCCGUUCGUCAAGCUUCGACUAAAUAGUUUCCAUAAAUUCUCUCAUGGCUAGAGUGUGUACAUACCUCUAGAGCCUUUAUUUGUUUGCAUAUUACAAGGUCUUGGAUGAGAGGAUCCCAAUGUUCUGACCUCCUCCUCGCCUGAAUGUCUACACUAUACGUAUAAAAGAAGGUAGCGGUGUCACGAUUCCUGGUGGUCGCAUUUUUUGAGAUUAUUUGUUCAUAUAGGAAAGGUUAGCUGGUCCCCAAUUCACCAUCUUAGUUAUCUGUAUAGUAGGCAGAGGUAACUACCCAUCCACUAUCACAAUCUUAAGUUGUGAAAUGUAUCAUUCGCCAUUGCAAGAAAAUGGCUAUUCUACCCCCUGAUUCCCAUCAAGUAAAUAGCCACUCAGGUGUUCCUUUCUUGAUUUUUUCUGCACAGAAGCUAGUUUAUGAGUGUUUUGUUGAUACAGGUGGUAGUUUCAGGUCCUUUUCUUAACCAAACAGACAUCUUGGUUGUGUUCUUACAACUAAUGAUGGUUAACAUCAAAACCUUGACUCUUACUUGUUUAGUGUUGUUUCAGACAACUGAUGGUGGGAGUAGGUAUUCUUUAUGUAUGUGUUAUAUAUAGCAUAAGACAACAUUGGAAUCUAAAGGGAUAUAUCUCUACCACCGACUUUCUUUUCAGUGAUUGGAAUUCCUUACAUAACUACUGAAAUUUGUCUCCAUCUUUAGCAGUCAGCAACAUUGCUGUCAAUUGACAUCAGUAGCCAACCAGGUUUACAAUCAGACACGCGAAUUAUAAUAUUUUGGUAUACGUAUGUGGACAUUAGUUACAACUGCAGUUUUAUUAAAGUUGGUGGAACAUGGAAGGAAGUGGUUAUUCCUGAGUAGUCGAAAGCUCGUACAGCGUCGUCAACCUUGCUCCAUUCUUGCCUUGUACCCACAUAUUAAGACGAUAAGCAGGAGAAAUAAGUUGAGAACCGUACUUCAUUAGGUGUUGGUCCAAAACGUCCCUAAAUCCCUACUUUUAGGGUUUUAACACUUCUGCUCUCUUUCUUCGUCAAAUUCUUCACUGUCUUUUUUCUACAAUCACAGAUUCUUUCAUCCAGGUACUCAAUUCUCUCUCUCUCUCUCUCUCUGAGGUACUCGAGGGAUGGAUGGUCUGAGAAGGCACUGAUGCUAUUGACCCAAUGGUCGCAAGGUUGAAGAUCAUAAACUUUCAUACGCCAACGGGCUUCAGGGAUGCUUUUAUUAACUUAGGUUUUCCAGUCAAGUUUCGGGUUUUCACACUUUGUGCGUUGGGCUGGUGAUUCGUAUAUCUAUCUAAUAAAUUGAGAGACAGGACAAAGAAUGGCAAGCCCUCCAGAAGAAGAAUACAUUGGGCAAGCUGCUGAUGGCCAUCAAGAAGGAAGCCCUGUGGCUGCCGGGUGGACAGGGAAAAUAGAAGAGCAGUAUCGCAAAAUCAAAGAACAUGCAGAAACCUACCCAUAUGUGUGGGGUUCAUAUAUCCUUGUAUAUGGAGGAUUUGGUCUGUGGUUGACCUACAGGUGGAGAAAGCUUCGUAGAACUGAAGAUAGAGUUCAAGUUCUUAAAGAAAGACUACGCAAAAUUGUUGAAGCUGAACAGUCUACUAAGUUGGCAACGAAGUCUUAGCUUGCAACCAAGUUAGGCGGGACAGAACUUUGCCUAUGUUGUUCCAAUGGAAAUGAUAAAAUUUAGUUCAAAGUGAAAGGAUGAUGUUCCUAAAAGAGGAAGGGUGUAGGUUAUAUUAUAUUUGAUUAUUUCUGAAUAAAUGUUAUAAGGAAAAUUGCUAUGCUGAAUUUGUU